rnacentral:rRNA from 1 species
AUUGAACGCUGGCGGCAGGCCUAACACAUGCAAGUCGAGCGGAUGAAGGGAGCUUGCUCCUGGAUUCAGCGGCGGACGGGUGAGUAAUGCCUAGGAAUCUGCCUGGUAGUGGGGGAUAACGUCCGGAAACGGGCGCUAAUACCGCAUACGUCCUGAGGGAGAAAGUGGGGGAUCUUCGGACCUCACGCUAUCAGAUGAGCCUAGGUCGGAUUAGCUAGUUGGUGGGGUAAAGGCCUACCAAGGCGACGAUCCGUAACUGGUCUGAGAGGAUGAUCGGUCACACUGGAACUGAGACACGGUCCAGACUCCUACGGGAGGCAGCAGUGGGGAAUACUGGACAAUGGGCGAAAGCCUGAUCCAGCCAUGCCGCGUGUGUGAAGAAGGUCUUCGGAUUGUAAAGCACUUUAAGUUGGGAGGAAGGGCAGUAAGUUAAUACCUUGCUGUUUUGACGUUACCAACAGAAUAAGCACCGGCUAACUUCGUG